rnacentral:rRNA from 1 species
GACGAACGCUGGCGGCGUGCUUAACACAUGCAAGUCGAACGGAAAGGCCCUUUCGGGGGUACUCGAGUGGCGAACGGGUGAGUAACACGUGGGUGAUCUGCCCUGCACUUCGGGAUAAGCUUGGGAAACUGGGUCUAAUACCGGAUAGGACUACUGGGUGCAUGCCUGGUGGUGGAAAGCUUUUGCGGUGUGGGAUGGGCCCGCGGCCUAUCAGCUUGUUGGUGGGGUGAUGGCCUACCAAGGCGACGACGGGUAGCCGCCUGAGAGGGUGUCCGGCCACACUGGGACUGAGAUACGGCCCAGACUCCUACGGGAGGCAGCAGUGGGGAAUAUUGCACAAUGGGCGCAAGCCUGAUGCAGCGACGCCGCGUGGGGAGUGACGGCCU